rnacentral:antisense_RNA from 1 species
CUUGAUCGAGCCCAGCCACAGCGGCCGGUCCUCGGCCCUGCCCCCGCCGUAGGUGGCCAGCAGUGCCUGCGCCUC